rnacentral:rRNA from 1 species
UACGAAGGGGGCUAGCGUUGCUCGGAAUCACUGGGCGUAAAGCGCACGUAGGCGGAUUGCUAAGUCAGGUGUGAAAUCUCGGGGCUCAACCCCGAAACUGCACUUGAUACUGCCUUGCUUGAGUACUGGAGAGGAGAUUGGAAUUUACGGUGUAGCAGUGAAAUGCGUAGAUAUCGUAAGGAAGACCAGUGGCGAAGGCGAAUCUCUGGACAGUUACUGACACUGAGGCACGAAGGCCAGGGGAGCAAACGGG